AGAAUCAACGCUGGCGGCGCGCUUAACACAUGCAAGUCGAGCGAGAAAGGGGAGCAAUCCCUAAGUAAAGCGGCGUACGGGUGAGUAACACGUGGGUGAUCUACCUUUUAGUGGGGGAUAACCCUGGGAAACCGGGGCUAAUACCGCAUAAUCCUGUGAAGGGAAAGCAGCAAUGCGCUGAAUGAGGAGCCCGCGGCCGAUUAGCUAGUUGGUGAGGUAACGGCCCACCAAGGCGACGAUCGGUAGCCGGCCUGAGAGGGCACACGGCCACACUGGCACUGAAACACGGGCCAGACUCCUACGGGAGGCAGCAGUGGGGAAUCUUGCACAAUGGAGGCAACUCUGAUGCAGCGACGCCGCGUGAGCGAUGAAGCCCCUCGGGGUGUAAAGCUCUUUCGGCAGGGACGAUUAUGACGGUACCUGAAGAAGAAGCUGCGGCUAACUACGCGCCAGCAGCCGC
rnacentral:rRNA from 1 species